rfam:Picea glauca, whole genome shotgun sequence.
CAUCUCAAGGGUUACAACACACCUAAUCCUAUUAGAACUUCUAAAUUAAGCGUGCUUGUGCUAGAGUAGUACUAGGAUGGGUGACCUCCUGAGAAGUCCUAGUACUUUACAUGU